rnacentral:sRNA from 1 species
UGACAGAGUGAGGGAAGGGGUGACUAGUGGCAGAGUGAGGGAAGGAAGGGGUGACAGAGUGAGGAAGGGGGUGACACGUGACAGAGUGAAGGAGGUGGUGACUGGCACUUGUCACCCCAUCCCUCCCUCUGUCACUAAUCACCACCUCCCUCACUCUGUCACUAGUCACCCCAUCCCUCCCUCACUCUGUCACUAGUCACCUCCUCCCUCUCUCUGUCACUAGUCACACCCUCUCUCUGUCACUAGUCACCCCCUCCCUCACUCUGUCACUA